rnacentral:rRNA from 1 species
GACGAACGCUGGCGGCGUGCUUAACACAUGCAAGUCGAACGGAAAGGCCCUGCUUUUGUGGGGUUCUCGGGUGGGGAACGCGUGAGUAACACGUGUGUAACCUGCCCUUGACUUUGGGAUAACUUCAGGAAACUGGGGCUAAUACCGGAUAGGAUCUCCUGCUGCAUGGUGGGCGUUGGAAAGUUUCGGCGGUUGGGGAUGGACUCGCGGCUUAUCAGCUUGUUGGUGGGGUAGUGGCUUACCCAGGCUUUGACGGGUAGCCGGCCUGGGAGGGUGACCGGCGACAUUGGGACUGCGAUACGGAGCAGACUGCUACGGGAGGCAGCAGUGGGGAAUAUUGCACAAUGGGCGGACGCGUGAUGCAGAGGCGCCGGGUGCGGAAUGACGGCCUUCGGGUUGUAAACCGCUGUCGCCUGUGACGAAGCGUGAGUGACGGUAAUGAGUAAAGAAGCACCGGCUAACUACGUG